AAAUCCCUCAUGGCUUGGUAUUAUCUUUGUGUUGAUACUGAGUUCUCAUGAGAUCUGGUCAUUUAAAAGUGUAUGGAACCUGCGCCCCCACUGUCUCUCACUUGUGUCUGCUUCUGUCAUGUGACAUGUGUGCUCACCUUCCACCAUGAUUUUCAGUUCCUGAGGCCUCCCUAAAAGCCGAGCAGAUGCCAGCACCAUACUUCCUGUGAAGCCUGCAGAACCGUAAAGUUUAAGCAUUACUGACUACUGGCAAACGGUGGCCUCUCAGCUGUCCCUCAGAAGAAGCUACAGAAAAGAAGCAAGUACAGUCAUGAGAGACUCAAAAUCCGAAAAGAAGUUACACUUCAGAUGGAAAACAUGAAG